CAGCUAAGGCCCCUAAAUGACCGCUCAGUGAAAAAGGAGGUGGGGGUGCAAAGACAGCCAUGAGGUUUGCCUAGAAGCAGCCACCCUUUAUAGAGUGCAUAAUAGCUCACUGAUCGAGCGCCCUUGCACAGAAGAUGAACGGGGCUAAGCGAUCUGCUGAAGCUG
rnacentral:rRNA from 1 species